rnacentral:rRNA from 1 species
UACGUAGGGGGCAAGCGUUGUCCGGAUUUAUUGGGCGUAAAGAGCGUGUAGGCGGCCAGAUAGGUCCGUUGUGAAACCUGGAGGCUUAACCUCCAGCGGUCGAUGGAAACCAUUUGGCUAGAGUCCGGAAGAGGAGAGUGGAAUUCCUGGUGUAGCGGUGAAAUGCGCAGAUAUCAGGAAGAACACCCGUGGCGAAAGCGGCUCUCUGGAACGGUACUGACGCUGAGACGCGAAAGCGUGGGGAGCGAACAGG